GACGAACGCUGGCGGCAUGCCUAAUACAUGCAAGUCGAGCGAACAGAUGAAGUGCUUGCACUUCUGACGUUAGCGGCGAACGGGUGAGUAACACGUAAGGAAUCUACCUAUAAGCGGGGGAUAACAUUCGGAAACGGGUGCUAAUACCGCAUAAUAUUUUCUUCCGCAUGGAAGAAAAUUGAAAGACGGCUCUGCUGUCACUUAUAGAUGACCUUGCGGUGCAUUAGUUAGCUGGUGGGGUAACGGCCUACCAAGACGAUGAUGCAUAGCCGACCUGAAAGGGUGAUCGUCCAGCUUGGGACAGAGACACGGCACAAACUCCUACGGGAGGAAGCAGUAGGGAAUCUUGCGCAAUGGGCGAAAGCCUGACGGAGCAAUGCCGCGUGAGUGAAGAAGGCCUUCGGGUCGUAAAACUCUGUUAUAAGAGAAGAACAAAUUGUAGAGUAACUGCUACAGUCUUGACGGUAUCUUAUCAGAAAGCCACGGCUAACUACGUGCCAGCAGCCGCAGUAA
rnacentral:rRNA from 1 species